GAUAAACGCUGGCGGCGUGCAUAACACAUGCAAGUCGAAGUGGCGAACGGGUGAGUAACACGUGAGUAACCUGCCUUACACAAGGGGAUAGCCUUUGGAAACGAAGAAUAAUACCCUAUGUGUAAGAUGGACUUGCGUCUGAUUAGCUAGUUGGUGAGAUAAAAGCCAACCAAGGCGACGAUCAGUAGCCGGCUUGAGAGAGGGUACGGCCACAUUGGUACUGAGACACGGCCCAGACUCCUACGGGAGGCAGCAGUGAGGAAUAUUGGUCAAUGGGCGCUAGCCUGAACCAGCCAAGUAGCGUGAAGGAUGAAGGCUUAUGGGUCGUAAACUUCUUUUAUAUAAGAAUAUGUAUUAUAUGAAUAAGGAUCGGCUAACUCCGUGCCAGCCGCCGCGGUAAUAC
rnacentral:rRNA from 1 species